GGCCGUAGGCACAUGUGAAGCUUUCUUGCCAAUCUUCAUUGAACUCACACUUCAAAAGUCAUGGUUUUCUCUUUGUUUUAUUGUAAUUUUCUGUUUUAUUAUAAAGAAGAUUGCAGAAAAGAGGCAGAAUAGGAGAGCUGAAAGACAAAAAAAGAGUAUCUAAACAACAGAGGACACAUACUGGAAUCUCUGGAGCUCAUCCCUUCAGAGGGCCCUUCCCAGAAGAACUGUAUCUCCACUUCCUCGGUUCUCUGGAAUAAAUUACAACCUUAUGACUCAUGAGUCCAAACAGGACAGUCUUUACGUCUACCCAUCUUAUGACUGAUGUGGCUCUCAAGGAACAAUAAAACCUAAGCAAAUUAUGGGAACAAGCAUUUAUCAACCACGCAAAUGAAGCCAUUCUUUAGUUUUUCUACACCAGGAGUUCCAAAAUCAAGCUACAUUCAAAGAGAGAAACAACACAUUGGAUACUCAAGUUAUGAACCGUGAGAAGAGUCAGAAAUUCCUUAUAGGAUAGAACAUGUGCAAUUGAAAUCUAAUAUUAAGUUUUCUGUGGAAAAACACAUAUAUGUGUACUAUAUGGCUAUCUGAUCAUUUUAAAAACAUACUCAGAAUACUUUAAUAAAACACUGUGAGUAUGAAUUAUCUAUGCUUUAAACACUUUACUUCUCUUUCUGCAUUUAUGCCAUCACUUCUUAUCUCUUCAUACCUUGAACUUUUUCUUUUCCCCCUCUCUCACUCUAUGACUCCUGAACAAAACUGUCAUUUCCAAUAUCUAACUUCAUUAACUAAGUAGGGAUGGCAGAUGUUUAUUAUCACCAAAAUGCAGCAUAACAUUUGCAAACUGGUUUAUGACAUGCAUCUUUAUAAAGUGCUCAGUGAAAUGCAUAAACGAUUGAUUGAAAAUUGGUCAAAGAGAAUAUUGAGUACUUUAUUAGUUACUGGCUAAAGCUAAGGAGUUACAGAAAAGCAUCAUAUCUAAA
rnacentral:lncRNA from 1 species